rnacentral:pre_miRNA from 1 species
UAUUUUUUUUAGGUUUUGAUUUUUGUUACGUCUUCCUGCAAAAAUCAAAACCUAGAGAAAAUA